UGGGGAAUAUUGCACAAUGGGGGAAACCCUGAUGCAGCAACGCCGCGUGAGUGAUGACGGUCUUCGGCUUGUAAAGCUCUGUCUUCAGGGACGAUAAUGACGGUACCUGAGGAGGAAGCCACGGCUAACUACGUGACAGCAGCCGCGGUAAUACGUAGGUGGCAAGCGUUGUCCGGAUUUACUGGGCGUAAAGGGAGCGUAGGUGGAUAUUUAAGUGGGAUGUGAAAUACUCGGGCUUAACCUGGGUGCUGCAUUCCAAACUGGAUAUCUAGAGUGCAGGAGAGGAAAGUAGAAUUCCUAGUGUAGCGGUGAAACGCGUAGAGAUUAGGAAGAAUACCAGUGGCGAAGGCGACUUUCUGGACUGUAACUGACACUGAGGCUCGAAAGCGUGGGGAGCAAA
rnacentral:rRNA from 1 species